rnacentral:rRNA from 1 species
AUUGAACGCUGGCGGCAGGCCUAACACAUGCAAGUCGAACGGUAACAGGAAGAAGCUUGCUUCUUUGCUGACGAGUGGCGGACGGGUGAGUAAUGUCUGGGAAACUGCCUGAUGGAGGGGGAUAACUACUGGAAACGGUAGCUAAUACCGCAUAACGUCGCAAGACCAAAGAGGGGGACCUUCGGGCCUCUUGCCAUCGGAUGUGCCCAGAUGGGAUUAGCUAGUAGGUGGGGUAACGGCUCACCUAGGCGACGAUCCCUAGCUGGUCUGAGAGGAUGACCGGCCACACGGAAACUGAGAAACGGUCCGAACUCCUACGGAGGGCGGAGGUGGGAAAAAUGGCAAAAUGGGGGAAGGCCGAAUGAGGCCAUGCGGCGGGUAUAAAAAGGGCCUUCGGUUGGAAAGUACUUUCAGCGGGGAGGAAGGGAGUAAAGUUAAUACCUUUGCUCAUUGACGUUACCCGCAGAAGAAGCACCGGCUAACUCCGUG